rnacentral:rRNA from 1 species
AUACGUAGGUGGCGAGCGUUAUCCGGCUUUACUGGGUGUAAAGGGCGCGUAGGCGGGGAAGCAAGUCAGAUGUGAAAUCCAUGGGCUCAACUCAUGAACUGCAUUUGAAACUGUUUCUCUUGAGUGCCGGAGAGGGAGACGGAAUUCCUAGUGUAGCGGUGAAAUGCGUAGAUAUUAGGAGGAACACCAGUGGCGAAGGCGGUCUACUGGACGGUAACUGACGCUGAGGCGCGAAAGCGUGGGGAGCAAACAGGAUUAGAUACCCUGGUAGUCCACGCUGUAAACGAUGAAUACUAGGUGUGGGGGGACUGACCCCCUCCGUGCCGCAGUUAACACAAUAAGUAUUCCACCUGGGGAGUACGGCCGCAAGGCUGAAACUCAAAUGAAUUGACGGGG